UACAGAGGUGGCAAGCGUUGUUCGGAAUUACUGGGCGUAAAGAGCGUGUAGGCGGCCAGGUAGGUCUGCUGUGAAAACUCGAGGCUCAACCUCGAGACGUCGGCGGAAACCAUCUGGCUAGAGUCCGGAAGAGGAGAGUGGAAUUCCUGGUGUAGCGGUGAAAUGCGCAGAUAUCAGGAAGAACACCCGUGGCGAAGGCGGCUCUCUGGGACGGUACUGACGCUGAGACGCGAAAGCGUGGGGAGCGAACAGG
rnacentral:rRNA from 1 species